rnacentral:lncRNA from 1 species
UCGGGGGGGGGAAGAGAGAGAGAGAGAGAGAGAGAGAGAGAGAGAGAGAGAGAGAGAGAGAGAGAUGGUCUUUGACUGGAAUCAAAGGCUAUGAACUAGUUGGCAUUAGAUGAAGACGAAGAGGCGUGUUCCGAUUGGUGAACCUCUUGUAAUUCUCAAUGAAUGAGAAUAUAUCUACUCAGAACCUCAUGGAUUCAUCAAGUAAUGACGGAAAAUAUGCGGCCGAUGAUACCAACUUUAAAUCCCGCUUCUUUGAUUUCUUCUUUUUCUUUUUUUCCUUCUCAGAUCGAA